UACGUAGGGGGCAAGCGUUGUCCGGAAUCAUUGGGCGUAAAGAGCGUGUAGGCGGCCCGGUAAGUCCGCUGUGAAAGUCCAGGGCUCAACCCUGGGAUGCCGGUGGAUACUGUCGGGCUCGAGUCCGGAAGAGGAGUGUGGAAUUCCUGGUGUGAGCGGUGAAAUGCGCAGAUAUCAGGAGGAACACCAAGUGGCGAAGGCAGCACUCUGGGACGUGACUGACGCUGAGACGCGAAAGCGUGGGGAGCAAACAG
rnacentral:rRNA from 1 species